rnacentral:snRNA from 1 species
AUCAAAAUACUAGAAGUUGUACA